rnacentral:lncRNA from 1 species
UGUUGAUUAAGUAUAUUGAAUAUUGGCCCCCAAUCUCUUCUAGCUUGUAGGGUUUCCGUUGAGAGAUCUGCUGUAAGCCUAAUAGGCUUACCUUUAUGGGUAACUUGAUCUUUCUCUCUGGCUGCCCUUAAUAUUUUCUCCUUCGUUUUGAUCUUGGUGAAUCUAACGAUUAUGUGCCUUGGGGUUGGUCUUCUUGAGGAAUAUCUUUGUGGUGUUCUCUGUAUUGCCUGGGGUUGAAUAGUGUCCUGCUUUGCUAAAUUAGGAAAAUUUUCCUGGAUAAUGUCCUGGAGAGUAUUUUCCAGCUUGAAUUCAUUCUCUCCGUCACAUUCAGGUACACCAAUCAAGCGUAUAUUAGGUCUUUUCACAUAGUCCCAUAUUGCUUGGAGACUUUGCUCAUUCCUUUUUAUCCUUUUUUCUCUAUUCUUGUCUUGUCGUUUUGUUUCAUUAAGUUGGUCUUCGACCUCUGAUACCCUUUCUUCUGCUUGAUCCAUUCGGCUGUUUAAGCUUGUACAUAUUUCACUAAGUUCUCGUGUUGUAUUUUUCAACUCCAUAAGUUCAUUUGUAUUCCUCUCUAUAUUGUCUAUUCUUUUCAACAUUUCAUCUAACCUUUUUUCAAAGUUCUUAGUUUCUUUACAUUGGGUUAGAACAAGUUCCUUUAACUCCAAGAAGUUUCUUAUCAUCCACCUUUUAAAGCCUACUUCAGAUAAUGGAACAAGUUCCUUUAACUCCAAGAAGUUUCUUAUCAUCCACCUUUUAAAGCCUACUUCAGAUAAUGGAACACAGUCCUUUUCCAUCAGGACUUGUUCUGUUGCUGAUGAGUCCUUUUCCAUCAGAGCUUGUUCAGUUGCUGAUGAGUCCUUGUCCAUCAGGGCUUGUUCUGUUGCGGAUGGGUUCUGAUUUCGAGUAUACUCGGCCUUCUUAGGCUUUUUUCCCUUCAUUGUAGAUGAACCGCCUUUCUAAUUAGGUUUCUGAGUCGACAUCUGAUUUAUUGAUUCCCAGUGCUGGAAUCCGAGCAACCUACUGUGGCGGCCU